rnacentral:rRNA from 1 species
CAGCNCGUAAUGGUGGGAACUCCAGGGAGACNGCCGGUGAUAAACCGGAGGAAGGUGGGGACGACGUCAAGUCAUCAUGGCCCUUACGAGUAGGGCUACACACGUGCUACAAUGGCGCAUACAGAGGGCGGCCAACCAGCGAUGGUGAGCGAAUCCCAAAAAGUGCGUCGUAGUCCGGAUUGGAGUCUGCAACUCGACUCCAUGAAGUCGGAAUCGCUAGUAAUCGUGAAUCAGAAUGUCACGGUGAAUACGUUCCCGGGCCUUGUACACACCGCCCGUCACACCAUGGGAGUGGGCUGCAAAAGAAGUGGGUAGUUANNNUCGGAGGACG